CGAACGAGGGCCGGGAGGCGGCAGGGGACAGCGGGGGAAAGAGGCGGCGGAAAAGUGCAGAAGUCAAAGGCACUGGGAGAUUUACUCCAACAAAUAGCAGAGUCAGGAAGAAACCUCAGAGAUAAGAGCAGGCACACCAGCUCCCUAACAUCCAAAUGUUCAGAUAGCCAGUCAAGUCCCCCGCAAGUACUGCAGCUCAGCAAGCCCCAUGGCUCUGGCCUGACGGUCCCCUCGCUGGCAAAGACGGCAAACAUGAGAGGGGGCAGGAGAAUGAGGGAUAAGGGGAGGAGGGGUGGAAUGAACCAAGGCUGGCCCGAGACUCUUUGCUCCAGUUUCACAAUGCAGAAUCAACAUUAAAAAAGACCUGACGUUCAUUUUCAGAGUGUACGGUCCACCUGUAUUGGCUCCUAUAAGAACUGGGGGGAAGAAGAGGAGAUGGAGGAGUACAACAUCCCUGAUUUCACCUGUUAAGGAACGGCGUCUUAGACCCUUCUCCUCAGAGCACAUGUGGAGGAUGAGAGGGCACAAAACAAAAAGGAUGGAAUACAGGAGGAGAAAAGAAAGACAGAGCACCAACCAGGUCUGGUUUAGAAAAUAAUCUAAAGCCUCCUAGAAUCAAUAGGAAGUCCCUUUAAUUGAUUGCAAUGGGCUUUGAAUUAGACCUAUAUUCUACUUAUCAAGUACAGCUGCUGAGAAUCAAUAAUAUUUUGACUUCACCCUCAAAGCAACAACUACACUGGUAACUUUUGGCUAAGAAAAAGUACAAUUAACAGCAUAUUAAUUCAUUAGAGUUUCUCUCACUGAAGUCCCCUUCUCAUCAGAUUGUACAGUCAGCUGGCAUUUAUAAGUGAUCAUGCAGGCAUAAAUGUCCUAUAUAAAUGAGGCAGUAAAGAAAAAACUUUUGUUCUUAGCAUUAAUUCAGAUCAAAUAUUCAUUGAUAUCUACAUUUCUCAGCAAGUAUCUCAAGCAGAGAUCAAUAAACACUUAUUAGUCACUGACCAUGUUUCCUGCAGUAAAGGAGGGAAUGUCAGCCAGCAGAUGGGAGCAGCCAAAUAAUCAGGGGAGCUGGAGUCUAGUGCUUGUCUGCCAGAUGAUCAUUUACCUUCUCUUUGUCUCAGUUGCUGCAGCUAGAAAACUAUAGAUCAAAGGAUUAAAAAAAAAAAAAAAAAUAUUUUUAAUAGUCAUUCCUUAAAAAUACAAAUCAUUAUUU